rnacentral:rRNA from 1 species
GGCAACCACUGACGUCCAGCCAAUGCCGCGGUGACUGGAAGAAGGCCCUAGGCUUGUAAAGCUGCUUGUCACCCUGUGAAGAUGAUGACGGUAGCGUGGAGAAGAAGCCCACGGGCAUAUAUUCCGUGGCCAGCAGACCGCGGUAGAUACGGUAAGGGGCUAGCAGCUUGUUCUGGAAUUACUGGGCGUAAAGAGCGCGUAGGCGGCUCUUCAAGUUAGGCGUGUAAGGCCUGGGCUCAACCUGGGAACUCGCGUUUAAUACUGGAGAUGCUUGAGUCCGGGAGAGGGUGGUGGAAUUCCCAGUGUAGACGGUGAAAUUCGUAGAUAUUGGGAGGAACACCAGUGGCGAAGGCGGCCACUUGGCCCGGAACUGACGCUGAGGCGCGAAAGCGUGGGGAGCAAACUAGGUAUUAGUAUACCCUGGUAGUCCACGUCCUGUAAACGAUGAGUGCUAGAUGUCGGGGAGCUUGCUCUUCGGUGUCGCAGCUAACGCGUUAAGCACUCCGCCUGGGGUAGUACGGCCGCAAGGUUAAAACUCAAAGUGAAUUGACGG